UUAGAAGCAGCCAUCCUUUAAAGAUAGCGUAACAGCUCACUGGUCUAAAUAAGGGUUUCUGCGCCGAAAAUGUAACGGGGCUAAAGCCAUUUACCGAAAUUGUGGGCUCGAAAGAGCGGUAGCGGAGCGUUCCGUAAGUCUGUGAAGGUUGACCCGCGAGGGCAGCUGGAGAUAUCGGAAGUGAGAAUGCUGACAUGAGUAGCGAUAAAGAGGGUGAGAGACCCUCUCGCCGUAAGUCCAAGGGUUCCUGCGCAAUGCUAAUCAGCGCAGGGUUAGCCGGUCCCUAAGGC
rnacentral:rRNA from 1 species